GGAAAUAAAAAUACUAUCUCUACUCGCGAGAUCUUAUUCUUUCUACAUUCUCUUAUCAAAGUAUUGUACAAUGUUCUCUGCAAAUCGUAAAAAUUAAUUUUACGCCGGAUCUUAAAUCAGUGCUCAAUUAUGAAUGGUGAAUCUAUGAUCAGAGAAAUGAAAAAAGAAAAAGGAAGACAAUAAUUGAUGAACCAUCACAAAAGAGAAAAUUAUUAUGAUUUACGUUUCCUAAAUCAUGUUCCAGAAAUUUUAAGAACCACUUUUAAUAAUCAAAUAUCUCAAACCAAAUCAAUGAAGAAACCCAUUGAUUUUCUAUCCUUGUGAUGAAUAUGUUGCUUCAUUCUUCCUUAAAAUCUGUUACUAUUCUCAACCUCUUGAAAACCCAUUACUAGUUGAGAAAUAUGAAUCAAAAUUUAUACCUAACUGAUUAAUCUCGUAAGCCAAUUUCAACAGCAGCAGAAUCAGUUUUAUCACAGUCUUCGGUCUAAUCUCAGUUGAUAGUUGAUAUUAGGUUGAAACCCAAUUUCAAAUUUAUUCUGAAAAGGCUAUGUUAGUCAUUGGAACAGUUGGACAGGGAGAAGAACAUAUCCUCAGGAACAAAGAGUUUUCCUUUUACUUAUUUAUUUCGUUAAAUAAGAAUUCAACGAAAAGAUAAUAUAUUGUUAAAAUAUAAUCCACGUGGCGUCCUGUGAGUGGUCGGGACAGGGGCACAGGGGGAUUUCAGGGGACAGACGAUCUGCACCCGCUUUUGAUUUACUUUCUCAACUUCUUUUCUGUCAGUGUUCUUCUUUUCGGUUCAUCCUUCUUCUCUGAUGCAGCUCCUCGAAUUAAGGGUCUUCAAGGAAGAGAAGCAGAUUGGGGUUGGUGGUUGAUCUCACCAGGCAGUUCCACUCUCUACUCAAUAAGGAUAACACUUUCACUGAGGAUGCACCUUUUGGAACUAUCGGUGAUAUGGCUAGCAUGAGGCCAACUUAGCGCUGACUUAUAGGAAAAUUAGGGGAUCGACAUGAGGCAGUAUAAGCAAUGACGAUGGGUGUCAGACGACUAACUUCCGUAGAAGGUAAUUUUCCUGCUGCCUCCUACAGCGAAUACAUUUCUUCAGAGGUGAAGAAUUUCGCUCGACGGUGCCAUGGUAACCUCUCUUACAAAUGUGGAACACCCUCGAGUAGUUCAACCACAAUUCAUACACAGAUACCUCCAAAUGCACAUUUAUGACACUCCAACAUCUACAUCUGGAGAAUGAAAACCUAAGAGUAGUUCAACCACAAUUCAUACACAGAUACCUCCAAAUGCACAUUUAUGACACUCCAACAUCUACAUCUGGAGAAUGAAAACCUAAGUAUCAUAAUCGUAAAGUGAGUUGGAGCGGCAUCAGUAUGCAAUGAAAACCUAAGUAUCAUAAUCGUAAAGUGAGUUGGAGCGGCAUCAGUAUGCAACAAUCCAGCGAGGCAUAGUUUUUAAAAUCGUGCGAUUUGCGAUUCAAAUGGCACGGAAGAAUUGAAUCUUCCCAGAAUCGUUUAGAUUCCGUUUUUUAUGCGAUUGUUGACCUUGAAAUUCGUUUGACCACUCAAGUUUCUUCACUAUUUAAAAACAUACGCCCAAGGAGUUUCGAACUACUAUCAUACCGCCUGUUGCCAUCUCACUGUAACCAAUUGUGUUGUGACUUGGUUUGGGGAUAAUGAGGAGAUUUUAAUUGAUUUAUCCACUUUCUCAUAAAACAUUUAAGCUUGAAUUUUAAUUCUUGUCAUUUCUCUUUUACUAAACGCAACAACAAUCAAGUUGCAGAUAGUAUUGUGAAUUCUAUGAGAGAGACAGCUAUGCAUGUUUAUCACACUAGUAAUUUCCCUGAAUAUCUUUGUAGCCUAUAGCAAAGGAUUUACACAAUCCUAUUACUUAAGCAAUAAAAUUUUACUUUAUUAAAAAAAAAAAAACUACUCAUUCAUUGAAUAUUGCAUGUACAUUAACUUUAUUUCUAUAUAUACAUUUCCAUUUCAAAUUUAUAAUGUACAUAUAACGAUUUAAUAAUCAACCGUGAAUUUACGAUUUACGAUUCAACAUACGAUUCGAUUCAUAAAAAUGAAAAAACGGUUCACGAUUUAAAAACCUUGCAGCAAGGUAUGUAUUUGAUCACAAAAUUUCCAGUUUCUAGAACUUUUUAAUUUCGCCAGAAUGCAGCUUUUGCUUUAAAUUUGUAGAAUUCAGUUUUCUAUUAAUAUGUUUAAAUUUCAACUUUAAAAAUGCUAAUUAUCAUUAAUUUUUAUUACAAUGAUAAACUACAGUGGGUUUUAAAUUUUGAUUUCAAUGGGUUGUUUAUAAUGAAAGUACUCUUGGUUAUGUGCUUUGUCAUCCUCUUCUGUACAUGGGUAAUAUUUUGUUUUCUAUAUAAGAAAAUUGUUUUACAUUGUCUCCAUUAUGGAUGAUAAUGGAGCUUCUGGAGCUUUUCUUUAUUCAAUUUGUUAAAAACUGAACAUUAGAAAUCUGAUUAACUGACACGACCGUAACAUUUUGAGGACCUGAGAAUAACAAUAUUACUCAGUUAGGGAGCGAAUGUUUUAGGUAUAGUUGUACAUUUUCUAACUACUACAUCCAACAAGAUCUAAUGAACAUAAAUCAUUGAAAAUCAAGCAUGAAAGAUAAAAGUGCAUAAAAGUAAAGAUUAACACAAGGAUUUUAUAGUGGUUCGGCCAUUAAAAGACCUAUAUCCACUUUGUUUUCACUAUUAUUUGUGGUGUUACACAAAGAUCCAUGAAUAGAAGUCCUCAACGGACUUGAAACUCCAUCCAUGGAGGAAGACGAGGUAGAGUAUAUCUUAGAGAGAGAAGAGAAGCAGGAGGAACCCCCUUUUAACCUAUAUCUCCUUCUCUUAUAUAGGGGGUAUUGUACAUCGAAUUACAUUACUGCCCUUAGGGCUGACUAGAUGCUGACUAGUUAGGAUAAGGAUUACAAAAGGUAGUAUUUUUGUGUAGUUGCUUGUAGUAUUAUAUGAUGCAUCCGUCUAGAUCUUGUGCCACGUGUCGAGUUGAUAUUUUACUCUCACAUUUUGCUCCUUUUAUUGGAGGCUCUUCGAAGAAGAAUCUUCAUGAAAAUCUUCUUUAGGUGUUGUUUUUGAGGCGAGAUGAGUGGUCGGAUAAGGUUUUGAAAAGUCUUGUUUCGAAGCAUUUUUGCUCCAAGUUGAUCUUAUGAUCGUCCUCCUUUUCGCCUAGCCAUGAGUGUUGAUUCACCGAGUUACAUUCGUUUUCACUGAAACAUAAAAUACAAAAGCAAACUUUACUUUAUUCGCCUUUUUAGGGUGACGACCCUCUCCGUUUGUUGUACUAUUUCCACCAUUAGUGAUUUGAAUAGCAAUCGUGAAGUUUCUUCUUCGUCGUGCUUCAUUAUGUCAUUCUCCAAAUGUGCCUUAGAUGCUUAUGAGCAAGUAGGCUAGCACUUCAUUAUGGUGCUUCGAUUGUUUGCUGAAGGGACUGAGCAAUAAGAAUACUAUUUAUUUUAAAAGUAUUAAUACUUUCCCAUAUUUUUAUGUGAAGUUCCAAGACCUACGUCGCGCAUCUUGAUGGCGUAGUUUUUGCUGACAUCUCGUCAUUAGUAUCUCCUAGUCCCUUGUUUGGUGAGUAGUUAUAAAUGUGAUCUCCUGUAUAGGGAUCACCUUGGUCAUUGGUCCAAAAACAUUUGUGUGAUAGUUUUGCAAUGUAUAUGCUAUGUUUAUCUUUCGUUUGCCUCCGGGUAGGAUUUUAAGUUUUAUAUUAUUAUUUUCAUGCUUUGAUAAUAAGCACUACGACCAAGUAUUUGGUUGUUAUGAGCUCUCCAUCUGGACUCCGAGAUACAUCCAUUCCGAGGUACAUCUUCAUUAUUAUGGUUAUGGGGUCAUCUGCCAUCGGGUCAUGCUUGCUCUAAUGACUGGUUUCGGCUCACGAUGAGCUUCGUGUUGUGGUUACCUCAUGGUGAAUCAAUUGCGCCAUGGUAUUCAUUUUCGUCAAGAGUUUGCUCCUUCACAUGUGUUUUUUCCAAGAUGAUGUGGUCCUUGGAUUCGUUCUCGCCUUUUUAUUUAUCGCCAUGCUCCUCGGUGGAGUGUUGUCUCCUUCAUUUAUUCAUGGUUUAUUGAGGGAAAUUGCCUUUUCCUUGCUUCCCAUCGUAGUCACCAUCGUGGGUCUUUUUGAAAUGCCAUUUGUUUGCUGCAAGUUUAUGAGUUACACAUCUUUUGUUGUGAUGUUCUCAUCGUGCAUCUAAGAAGUUCUCCAUCGUAAGAGGGCAUUCUCAAGGAUUCUCCUUUCUCAUAAAAUGCAACAAUAAAUUUAAUCGUCAAUCAUCGUUGUGGGGUGAUGACCCUCUUUUUUUGUUUGCGUCAUUCUUUGGCACUACAAUUGUUGGUAAAGGAACUGUGUAGGGGAAUAUGAUUUGGUCCUUUGUAAUAUACAUACUUGCCCCUAUUCUCAUACUCAGUUCCGAGGCACAGUUAGUGCCCCUACUUGAUUCAAUUCAUCAUGUUAUUUCUCCUUUAAAUUUAUUUUUUAGUUUUAUUGGAUUAAUAGUUGGUGAUUAAUUCCAACUAACUGCUGUAAUUAAUGAGAUUAAUAUUUUCCAAGCUCCCUUCGGGCCACCAUGUUGCUUCCCGACACUAUUGUGAAGGGUUGGUUGGGACGGACCUCGUGUUCCUCCUAGAUAGAUCUCGUCACUGUUAGUGAGAUUGGUGUAUGACUAUUCGCCUAAUAGCUUAGAAAUGGAUGUGCCUCGUUCGGAUUUUGUUCGUCUCUUCCCUUUGGUUGAGUUUUACUUUGUACUGUUCACUUCUUGCUCCUAGGAAAAUUUAUUGUAUUUUACACCGUUGGGUUCGGUUGUCCGGAUCGCCCUUGUUUUUGCUGACCUUCCAUCGGUCUUUGACACAAACUGGAAAAUGUAUUUUAAACAUCAGUCCACCCGCCUUGGGAAGGAAUUUGUCUUCUUCGCCGCAACCUCUUGAGUAUGGAUACGUUGGUAUUGAAAUCGCCUUUUUAUGAGGUUUGCAUAAUUAUAGCGUCUCUGGUACGUCUUUGUUGCAUCAUUUCUGCGAUUUAAAAAUAAGAUUGGUCUUUCUUAUUUGAGAUUUUAGGAUGAUUUUUCAUCUCCUGGCCAUCGUUACUACGUGGUGGUGUUGGUGAGGUGGCAUUUUGCUAAAUGCAUGUGCCCCUGCCUAUGUUUUGGGUUCCAAGUACUCCCUUGGAUUGUUGCGCUUCGCAUUGGAUUGCGCCAGUAUUUCUAUUUCAUAGAGUUAGUUUAUCUCCUUGCAUCGGGUGGCCCUCCUGAUGGUUUGGACUGCACUCCUUGUUAACCACCAUAGUGGUCCUCGUGUAUUGUGUCGAGGAGAUGUUUAAUGGCUGGUCAUGGUGACCUUUUAAGUAAGUUCGCUUCCGUCUUGAGGCGAAAUUCAAAGUACUUUUGUACAACUUCUAUGGCUUUUGUGAUUUUACCACUUUUUUGGAAUGAAAUAUUUAUUUUUUGUUAUAAUUUGUUAUGGCUUUGAGGAUGUUUUUCGUUUAUGCCAUUAAUCCACCCAUGGAUGACAAAGUCAAUGAGUGAUCAGUUCCUUAACUGGACAGGUCAUCUCUUAUGGUGUUGGAUUUGGAGUAUAACGAAUUUCCUUGCUCGCCUUUAUUAUUUUAAAAGUGUCAUGUUUAGGUUACAUUUGCCCCUUGGUCGAGUGAUCAGAUGUUUGAGUCACUUACUUUUUAACCAUUUUUUGAAGGGCGAUACCUCGGUUAGGUGAUUCUUGCCUUAGCCAGAGACAAGUACCCCAAUUCUGGAUAUCUCCUGUUAUGGCAAGACAUCAUCCGAUUUCAUGAUCGUGAUGGCAUUACCUUAGAUAUGUUUCCGUCUUAGGUAGCUUAGGGUGUCCCCUGCUUCAUCUUACUUCGCUGGCUAGAUGGCAUUGCCGUAGGUAUGUUUCCGUCUUGGGCAGCUUGGAUAUUGUUCCCGCAUCAUUCUUUGUAGAAUGGAAGGUGUGGCUAUCACCGUGCCAUAAUCUUGAUGGACUUUUAGAAGAGUAUGGUUUGGAAUCCAAAUUUUCUAACUAUAUGCAAUGCAAAAAAGAAAAAAUAUAAACAAAACAAAAAUAAAUACUAAAUACUAAAAUAUUCAAAAGAAAAAAUUAAAACAAACAAAAAGAAAAUGUUCAAAAGAAAUGCUUACAUUAUUGUUCCAAAUGGAAUCCCAUUCAAGGAAAGUAGCCUUUGCUAGUUCGACUUCGUGGCUUCUUCUAGCGAUUAGUAUACUCCAUAUUUAAUGGUAUUGGAGGAAUGUAUCCUCCAAGCUAUUCCAUAUUUAAUGGUCUUGAAGGAAUGUAUCCUCCGAAUUUUGUCAUUCUCGUUAGAAUGGUAAGGGACUUUCAUGUCUCUUAUCGGAGAUGUCUGAUGUUGCUUGGCUAAAUGACCUUCUUAGCAAUAUUUUCCUUUCGCUGAGGAUUAUAUGGAGAUCUUAUCUGGCUCCCCUGUUUUGAAUGUCAUCGUGGCUUAAAUUGCAAGGUGUCGGGCUCGUCUGGCUCCUGUGAGACUCAUUAUCUCGGACCUAAAAUGUGUUGUCUUAUUGUGAUGUCACUGUGUAUAUUGAUUUAUGAUCGUCAGUGUCAGCUUUUCGCUGAUGGUGGUGGAAGUUACUUCAUAGUUUGGCUUUCUCGUGGGGACGCCUUGGAUUGCUGAGCGAUGUAGCUCUAAGCAUGAUUUCAUGUGUGAGUUUCUCCUUUAUUGGUAAGAACGAGCUAUGGUUACUGUGGCUGUAACUUCAAGCAUGGACUUCGCCUAUGUCAGCAAGAUUGUGCGUCAUGGGAAUCAUAAUUCAUUAUGGAACUGAAUCGCUUACUUCGUCUUGGUAAAUUAAUCAGUGUACAGGGCUCUCAGUUAUGAGGUGCUCCUGGAAUUUAGUACAUAACUAGUUAUUCAUUCAUAAAUGGUGGUUCGUUCAACACCGUCUUGACUUUUCAUUUUGUCAUGAGUAUGACGAAAGUGAGAUGAGAAAUUUAAGCUCCAUCCGCCAUUGUAGGGUGACGACCCUUUUUGCUCAUAGGGGUUCUGCGACUUGUUAUCUGUUGCUAUAGAAUUUAUACUUCGAGUUUUGGUGUUACAUUUUUGACAGUAGCAUUUCUUUGAUGCCCCAUUCGUAAAUUGCUGUUGGUGCAGCAGAUAGUGUGGACGGUGGUCACAGUUUAUUAUGUACUUUGGUUCCCUUGGUUGUCAUUCAUCUGAGGGAAGUAGACGUCCGUCAUUAGCUCCUGAUUUUUUCUUUAGGUCACACAUAGUUGUGCCAGAAUGUUUAUAGUCCUUCAUGAAUCUUACGUUAAACUCUUGCUGUCAGGGAGACAACCUGUUAUAGAGUGUACGCCUUAUUUGAAACCGAAAAUGGGCUAUAUGGUCAAAAUUGUGUGUUUCCUGGGCUAAAUGGACAGUUAGGAUUUAGCCUGGGUCAAAUGGACAGAGAAAUCUUUUUAAUUGAAACUGACCCAAUUACCCCUCUCCAGAUCUCCACCAUUUCCAUUCUUUCUUCUUAUGCUCUCGAUCUUCUGUUUCUCCACCACCACCGUUUCAGUCAUGAUGGUUGUUGUUACUUCUGUGAGAUCGAGAAUUGAGAGAUUUGAUGGGCAGAGAAGAUGGUGGUCGACGUGAUGGGUAUGAUGGCUAAGAUCGAGAAUCAGUAAUGAGUUGACUCGAAUUUGGAUUAUGAAAUUGAGAGUUGCAGUGAAUGAAUGAAGUUAGGGUUUGCUUCUUCGGGUAAAUCAGAUGAAGAAAUUUGUGAAUUGAUAAGGGUUUCCGAAGAUAGAGAGGAUGAAAUUAAGAUGGGUUCGAUCUGUGAAUCCGUGAUCUGAGAGCUUCCACAAUUAAAUUGAUUCGAGACUGUGUAGUUGAUGGGUUUAAUGGCCGAUUGAGUUCAAGAAGAUGAAGUUGCAGAAAUUGAUAUGGGACUGAACUUAGUUACAGCAAUGGAAGAUUGAGAAGCAGAUGGGAUAGAAGGAGGAGCAGCAGAUGCUGCUGUUGAAUCUGAAACGAAAUUGUAAUGGUUUUGAGGUUGGAUCUGUGAUGGCUUGCAGUGAGGUUAUGAACUUGAAAUUCAGGGUUUGACUCAACAGAGGAAACGGGGGUUUGAAGCUGCUUCUGAUUGAAUGCAAUGGUGGUGCUGAGCAUUAAAAAUUUUCUUCCAUCAAUUUCACUGAUGGUAGUAGUACCGGUGGAUGUGCUCGAAAUGAGGUUAGAUGGUACUCGCAAUGGCUGCAGUGUUGGUGGUCUGCUAUGUUGGUGUAACUAUAAAAUGAAAUAAACUGGCUGGUGCAGAAAUUGCAGUGGUGACAGAUAUGAAUACGCAGCUGGUGCUAUGUACUGUGAGUGAUGGAUGCUGAGUAAACAAGAAAUGGAGGAAAUGAAAUGUGUUUGAGGUGCUAGGGAAGAUGCAGCUGUUAUGAGUCCAAGUGCAUCUGAAAUUAUGAGUAAAUAAGUCAUGUGUGUUCAUGGUGGAGCAGUUGGAUGCAGUGAAAGUUGAAGUUGCAACUGUGGAAUGUGGAAUGAUGGAACAACAAUCAUGGCUGGAUGUAGUGACUCAGCCUCGACAUUUUUUUUUUCUUUCAGAUUUGGUAUUGUUGGUGCCCAUCAAAUACUCAAAAAUUUUGGGAUAUUGAUGUUAGAUUAAAUUUGUACGUGGGACAAAUUUGUUUGCUAUAAAAAACUUAGUUUAAA